UACGUAGGGACCGAGCGUUGUCCGGAUUCAUUGGGCGUAAAGAGCUCGUAGGCGGCUGCUCAAGUCGAAUGUGAAAACUCGAGGCUCAACCUCGAGACGUCGAUGGAAACCAUCUAGCUAGAGUCCGGAAGAGGAGAGUGGAAUUCCUGGUGUAGCGGUGAAAUGCGCAGAUAUCAGGAAGAACACCCGUGGCGAAGGCGGCUCUCUGGUACGUGACUGACGCUGAGACGCGAAAGCGUGGGGAGCGAACAGG
rnacentral:rRNA from 1 species